CACACGGGGACUGAGACACGGCCCCGACUCCUACGGGAGGCAGCAGCAAGGAAUUUUCCACAAUGGGCGCAAGCCUGAUGGAGCAACGCCGCGUGGGGGAAGACGCUUUUCGGAGUGUAAACCCCUUUUCGGGAGGACGAAGCAAAUGACGGUACUCCCGGAAUAAGGACCGGCUAACUACGUGCCAGCAGCCGCCGUAACAC
rnacentral:rRNA from 1 species